GGCAGCAACCCGCGGCGCGGCGUGGGGCCGCGUCGCUCUCGCGGCCUUGCCGUGGCCAGCUGCGGCUAGCGGGAGCGAAGUGGACGCCUCCGGGCCGCGCGUUGCGCUGCGCUGCGCUUGCGGGCGGAAGUCGUGACAGGAAAGUUCGUUCCCACGGGGCGUGCGUGGUUGGUACGUCCAUCCGAUCCGGGGGGUGGUGGGGUAGGCGGCACGGCAGACGCGGGCGGGUGCGGUCGUUAAAACUGCCGGGCCGCGGCCACCACGCGCGGUCGCACCUGGCUGGUGCGGCGGCGAAGCUGGACCGGUGAAUUGGUUCCUUCCGAGGAAACAUUCAGCGCCCAUCUGAUUCCGAUCCGCACGCGUUGCCCUGCUUCUCCGGUCUUCAGCUGCACGCCGAGUCGCCGAGUGCUCGCUCUUACAGCCGCUAGCCCGCUACUACGUACUACCAGUACUGGUAAGCGCUAGCUUAUCCGUAAAACUACGUAAAGAACUCGAUCCUAUCGGGAGCCAUCACAUGAUCCCAUGUAUGGACCAGUCUAUAAGCAAUUAAAGCAUAGAGUCUAUUGGUGACUCCGCGGUAUACUACGUCUACGACGUGAUCCUGACAUGUGCCAUCCUAUACUAGUAUUUCUCCCAGUUCCAGUCUCAGCUGCAUCUACCUCGGUCGCGCCCACAAUCCGGUCGGCCGCUCAUCGCGCAAGCUGGGGUUCAUUGUCCACGCCUAGAUUCAUGCGGAACCUACGUACGUACGCUGACUUCGUAACAUCCCCAAUCGAUCCGCCGUUUUCGGCGUUGCAUACCGACUUUAAUUUUUCGAACGAACGGUCACCAGGUUGGUGCCAUUUCUUUGCAUGCUUGUAAAUUAACGUAUGCUUGUAAAUUAAGGCUUGAAUGCAUGAGCAUGACCUGUUUGCAUGAUAAUACAGGCUCGUCAGUCGUCAGCUGCCGUCGGGUGCGGCACGGGAGGAGAGGCGGGGGGAUAGCUUUUUCUUUCUCCGGAUUCUCAUCCCCUUCUUGAUGGUGCACGUUUGCAGUUGGGCCGGGGAAUAUCAGGCCCUAUAGAGCAAAAAAAGUACAACAAAAGUUGGACCUGCAGAGGGAGAUAAGAUUUUAUAAGCAUAAAACAAUGAACUUAGCCAUGCUACUGUACGCAGUUAGCCGCCUAAAAUCCGUAAUGUAUUAGCAUGGAUAAGCCUUUUCUUUAUCAAGUUAUUAUUAGCCCGGAUGAGUUAUUUUAGCUUAUAUUAGUCCCGGAUAAGCUAAUAAAAGUACGUGAUCGCUUCAUCAGUGCUUCAUCCUAGGACUGACUCGUGUGAGGCCC
rnacentral:lncRNA from 1 species